GAGGAGGCGCGCCUCUAGCAGCUCCUGCGCGGCUGCCUCCUGGCUGUGAGCUUUCCCGGCCGUCCUCCCUCCCGUGAUGUACCCCCAGUUGCCUCUAAUCCGCUACUGCGAUGAACAUCUUUGUGCCUGUCCCCUUGUGAACCUGGACUCCAGUUUCUCUGGGAUGCAUCCCUGGAAUGGAUUACUGGAUCAUAUUCAUUUCUAAUAAACAUUUUCAAUGGAGAUGAUGAAAUCAGUGCAGACAAGGCUGCUUUUAUUUAGAAGAAGGAAUGAAAAGCAUGUUUUUUAAGCUAGUGGAUUGGCAAAUCGAGUCAAAGGUUUUAAAGGAUCUGGCUGCUGCCCGACUGAUUUAAAGAGUGAAGCAAGAAAGGAAUAGGAGAGAAAACUGAGCUCCUUCAAGAGAUCAACAGACUCAAAGUGACUGGCUCUUCUUGGGUCUGGAAUCUGCUGGCUUUCUGACUGGAAUUUACACCAUUGGAUUUCCUGGAUUUUCCAGUUUGUGAACUGCAAAUCUUGGGAUUUCUCAGCUUCCAUCAACACGUCCUGUGGUGUGAAAACCCACAUGAAACCAGAUGAACGUCAGGUAAAUAUUCUUUAUUAGAGGUUCAGCUGUAUAAACUAAAACUAGGAAUGAUGAAGAAGAAGAAAGGAAGAUGGAAUCCAUGUUCUUUAGUGAACACAGAAGUGAAGAGCAGCCAGCUAAAUUAACCUGGAUUGAUGAAUAUUAUACUGGAUGACUGUUGUGAAACACCAAGGAAAACACUCAAGGAAUUCUGAAACAAACAAACAAAAUAUGCAGGUAACAAAGCAAAUUUCUAAAAAGAAUUCGUGUUAAUUCAGGUUGGAUACAAUUGUUGAAACUUGAUUAUUAGAGACAAUUCAAAAUCUUCAUAACACCACCAAAAAGCAAUAGAUGACACAAUUUAAAUUUCACAGUAAGCUAUCCAAACACAAAUAGAUGUGUUCUAUACAGAAAUGAAGAACAGAGGGACUGGGUGUGCUUUAUGAUAGCUUUGUGACAAAUGACACAUACAUAGAGUGCAGUGUAACUGACUCUCAAGCAAAUUCAGCUGCUUUUUUCUUGUCUCUUCUUUUUUCUGUAUAAUAUGUACAGAAGUACAAAUGUUUAGACGGCGUCUAGUGACUACAAACAAAGAG